GUCCUGCUGCCCUGAAUUACAGGAACACAUCUGGCUGUUCAUGAGAACAAAUGGAGUGUGGGAAUUCUGGCUUCUGUGAUUUAGGUCAACUCUACCAGAGUCACCCCAAGUGUGUGAAGGGUUGCAUUGGAGUGUAUUAUCCUGCUGAAAGAGGCCUCUGCCAUCUGGAAAUAUCAUUGCUGGUAAGCAGUGUACCUGGUCCACAACGAUGUUAAGGUGGCAUGUGUCAAACUGACAUCCAUGUGAAAUUCCUGACCAAGAAUUUCCCAGCAGAACACUGCCCAGAGCAUCACACUCCUUCUACCAGUUUGUCUUCUCCCCACAGUGUAUCCUGGUGCCAUCACUUCCCCAGAUAAUGCCACACAUGUACACUGCGAUCCAUGUGGUGUAAAUGAAAGUGGAACAGUGGGUUGAUUUAUUGUGAUGACAGCUUUUCCAUUACUGGCAUGGCAUGGUGCACAGGGUGUUCUUACACUGGGCAGGAGCAGGAACCCAAAAGGGAAAUGAAUGGUACUCCAGUCGCCAGUGCUUCAGCCUGACUCCUGCUGUACAGUACACUGAACAAUGGAACCCAUCUGUGGCAUACUCUCCUAAAGAAUACACGGAUAUGAUGUAUAAGAGCAAAGAGGAUGGCUAAUGCUUUCAUUAGGAUGGAACACAUGCAGAGGCAGCACUGCUUAUGCAACACAUGAAUUUUAGACAACACACCACACCUCCAUGAAGAAAUCCAGUAUGUCAUUUAGCUACGACUUGCAGCAGGUUUUAUCACACCCUCGGAUCUAGUUCACGCAGAAAGUUAUGCAACACCUUCUUGUUUCCUUAGGAAGGCUGCCAUUCAUGUUGAGAAUCUAUUCUGUUCUUACACGUGCUUCUGUUCUGAUCUUCUCUGGUAGACAAAUGCAAAUACACACAAUACUGUUACCUCACUAAAAAGGGUGGUGAUGACAACGUGGUACUUUUUGCAUAGGAAAGCUAAAAGCAGGUGAAAUUUACUUGAUUUCUGGUCUUCAGCUUGUUGUUUAUGGAAGGAAGAGCCAUAAAACACAAUAGACAUAAGUGCCACUUGAAAACACAUUGUUCUCAUCCUUGGAUUUUUGCAAAAAGUAAAUGUUCCAACUUUUUACAGUGAAGAGCGCUGACAGAGAGCUUUUUUGGGAUGUGUUUAAUGAAUCGCACCUUCUGGACUUGCAUGGACAGGCUGGCCAAAAGAACUGAAGUACACACACAUGAAUCAUUCAACUGAACACACUGAACACACAAAAGUCCAAAACACAUUUUGGACUUUUAACUAAUGUGGUCUUUAGACGAAAAUCCUUUUGCUUUAAAUUGCCCUGAAUGUUAAUUAUGAGCUUCAUUUAUUAAUGGAAAUGAUUAAACAUUCCAUUUUGUUAAUAAUAACAAAUAAUAACACCUCUGAAAUGUUAACAAAUGUUUCAAUUGUAACAAUUUUAUCUAAUAUUGAGCAGAACUCAAAAACCUUAGCUAGCAAGCGAACACAGCUUUGAACAGAAAAAAAUGCUUCAUUUGAUUCAUAUUUGUAAAGGAUUUUACUACAAUAAACGUUACAGCAACACACAUUUCUUCAUUGCUUUUUAUUUCAGCUUACUUAUUUUUGGCACGAGUGGAGUUGAUGUCAUUUAUUUUAUUCAUGUGAAACUGAUGUAUAUAGU